UACGUAGGGGCCAAGCGUUGUCCGGAUUUAUUGGCGUAAAGAGCUCGUAGGCGGUUGGGUAAGUCGGGUGUGAAACUCCACGGCUCAACUGGGGAGGGUCACGCGAUACUGAUCGACUCGAAGGCAGGAGAGGGUAGUGGAAUUCCCGGUGUAGUGGUGAAAUGCGUAGAUAUCGGGAGGAACACCAGUGGCGAAGGCGACUACCUGGCCUGUUCUUGACGCUGAGGCGCGAAAGCUAGGGAGCAACGGG
rnacentral:rRNA from 1 species